GGGCAGGCCCGCUCUGUCGCCGCCGGGAAACCGGGGGAGGAAAGUCCGGGCAACACAGAGCACCGCGCAAGCUAACGACUUGAUAUCCGUGAGGGUAUGGCAGCGUAACAGAGAAUGACCGCCCGGCGAUCGCCGGGUAAGGGUGAAAAGGCGGGGUAAGAGCCCACCGCGGAGGCAGCGAUGUCGCCCGGCCGUACGUCCCGCGGGUUGCAAGACCAUGUAUAC
rnacentral:RNase_P_RNA from 1 species